rnacentral:ncRNA from 2 species
GUAGGUGACCUGCGGAAGGAUCAUU